ACAACAUUCGGACCGUCGGUCUACUGAGCAAUAUCACCCGCUCGGUGGAAGAACUUUCCCUAUGUCGA
rnacentral:pre_miRNA from 1 species